rnacentral:rRNA from 1 species
UCGUAACAAGGUUUCCGUAGGUGAACCUGCGGAAGGAUCAUUGUCGUGACCCUGACCAAAACAGACCGCGCACGCGUCAUCCAAUCCGUCGGUGACGGCAUCGUCCGUCGCUCGGCCAAUGCCUCGACCACCUCCCCUCCUCGGAGUGGGUGGGGGCUCGGGGUAAAAGAACCCACGGCGCCGAAGGCGUCAAGGAACACUGUGCCUAACCCGGGGGCAUGGCUAGCUUGCUAGCCAUCCCUCGUUUGCAAAGCUAUUUAAUCCACACGACUCUCGGCAACGGAUAUCUCGGCUCUCGCAUCGAUGAAGAACGUAGCGAAAUGCGAUACCUGGUGUGAAUUGCAGAAUCCCGCGAACCAUCGAGUCUUUGAACGCAAGUUGCGCCCGAGGCCACUCGGCCGAGGGCACGCCUGCCUGGGCGUCACGCCAAAACACGCUCCCAACACCCCUCAUCGGGAAUCGGGAUGCGGCAUCUGGUCCCUCGUCUCGCAAGGGGCGGUGGACCGAAGAUCGGGCUGCCGGCGUACCGCGCCGGACACAGCGCAUGGUGGGCGUCCUCGCUUUAUCAACGCAGUGCAUCCGACGCGCAGCCGGCAUGAUGGCCUCAAAACGACCCAGCAAACGAAGCGCACGUCGCUUCGACCGCGACCCCAGGUCAGGCGGGACUACCCGCUGAGUUUAAGCAUAUCAAUAAGCGGAGGA